CAAUAGCGUAUAUUUAAGUUGUUGCAGUUAAAAAGCUCGUAGUUGGAUUUCGGGUGGGACGCAGCGGUCUCGCAUUGCGUUUGUACUGCUGCAGCCCUCCUUCUUGCCGGGGGCGGCCUCUCGGACUUCACUGUCUGGGGGUCAGAAUCGGCGAUGUUACUUUGAGUAAAUUAGAGUGUUCAAAGCAAGCUUACGCUCUGAAUAUAAUAGCAUGGGAUAACACGACAGGACUCUGGCCUAUCGUGUUGGUCUAUAGGACCAGAGUAAUGAUUAAGAGGGACAGUCGGGGGCUUUCGUAUUCCGUUGUCAGAGGUGAAAUUCUUGGAUUUACGGAAGACGAACAUCUGCGAAAGCAUUUGCCAAGGAUGUUUUCAUUGA
rnacentral:rRNA from 1 species